AAGCCUCUGAGUGGUCAUCCAACUGGAUGCCUCUCAGCUGAACUGUGCUGCUCAAAAGCCUAAAAGCUUAACCAGGUCUAGUUCUUCGUUCUCAUGCCUUAAAUACAUAUCUGUUUCCUGCCAUCACUUCCUAGGAUUAAAGGCGUGUGUCACCAUGCCUGGCUGUUUCCAGUGUGGCCUUGAACUCACAGAGAUCCAGACAGAUCUCUGCCUCUGGAAUGCUAGGAUUAAAGAUGUGU